rnacentral:rRNA from 1 species
GACGAACGCUGGCGGCAUGCCUAACACAUGCAAGUCGAACGAGACCUUCGGGUCUAGUUUCGCACGGGUGCGUAACGCGGGGGAACCUGCCCUUAGGUUCGGAAUAACUCCCCGAAAGGGGUGCUAAUACCGGAUUAUGUCUUCGGACCAAAGAUUUAUCGGCUUGGGAUGGGUCCGCGUUGGAUUAGAUAGUUGGUAGGGUAAAAGACUACCAAGGCGACGAUCCAUAGCUGGUCUGAGAGGAUGAUCAGCCACACUGGGACUGAGACACGGACGAGACUCCUAAGGAAGGAAGCAGUGGGGAAUAUUGAACAAUGGGCGAAAGCCUGAUCCAGUAAUGCCGCGUGAGUGAUGAAUGCCUUAGGGUUGUGAAGCUCUUUUACCCGGGAUGAUAAUGACAGUACCGGGAGAAUAAGCUCCGGCUAACUCCGUG